rnacentral:rRNA from 1 species
UACAGAGGUCUCAAGCGUUGUUCGGAUUCAUUGGGCGUAAAGGGUGCGUAGGCGGCGCGGUAAGUCGGGUGUGAAAUCUCGGAGCUUAACUCCGAAACUGCAUUCGAUACUGCCGUGCUUGAGGACUGGAGAGGAGACUGGAAUUUACGGUGUAGCGGUGAAAUGCGUAGAUAUCGUAAGGAAGACCAGUGGCGAAGGCGGGUCUCUGGACAGUUCCUGACGCCGAGGCACGAAGGUCAGGGGAGCAAACAGG